AAGCAAUUUGCUCAUAGCCAUAGCUUUCUUGUGAAAGUAGGAUAUUAACCCAGGUGUCUUGGUGCUGGAGAACAGAACUGGCCAGAGUCCAUCCUGUCUCCCACCGGCAUCCCAUUACGAAAUGAACACAGAAAAGGCAGGUCUGCAAUGCCAACAUCUAGUAUCUAUCCCAAAGACCAGGGAGAAAGGAAGGAAAGAUUCUGGUUCUGUCCUCUUCCCCAAGGCAAGGCUGGCUGCCCUACCAACAGAGGCAAAGAGAAGAGUGUGCAAGGCUGGCUGCCCUCCCAACAGAGGCAAAGAGGAGUGUGUGUUGAAAUAUCCAUUGAAUCCCUGAGACAACUGGAUCCUGGCCCAUUGAAUCAUAAACUCAGCAGAAUCUCACAUCAUAACCCCAAAUGACCUGUUACUCACCAUGUGGCCCAGCUGUCUUCAAACUCACCAGCCUCCUGCCUUAGCCUUCUAAAUGCUUGGAUUACAGGCAUGACCCACCAUAACUGGCUUUGUUUUAGUUUCAGAGAAGAUGAAACUGAUGUGCGUCAAAAAGGUAAAUGUCACAUGACCCAUCUUAUGUUGAAUAAAACUAUUCUAUGAUUCAAUCUGUAUAAGCUUCAAAGAUAAAUUAACUAGCAGCACAUUUUUAUUAUUGUUUGUAUAGUAUGUUUGAUCAAAUUCCUUCCCCUCCCCAAACUCCCUCUAGAUCCUCCCCAUCUCUCUAUCCACCCAACUCUUUGUUCUUUAUCUCUCCCAAAAUAAAGAACAAAACAAGAAAAAACAACAACAAAAAAUGAAAGCAUGUGCGUGCAAGCACACCCCCCCAUACACACACAAACACACACACAAACAUACACACACACAUACACACACACACCACAUAAAGUCUAUUUUGUGUUGGCCAACCAUUUCUAUGCAUGAAGCCUGAUGCAUGAAGCCACAAAAAUUGGCUGAUAUACUCUCUCUCCCUGCACUGCUAUGAAAUAGCUCCUCUUUCCUGUAAUCUUCUCAUGAGAGUUGGGCAUCUCCUGUCUCUGACUCAGUCUGUCAAAUCUUUCUCUGACUCAUUACUUUGUCUGCCCCCCAUUUACACAUCAUUUUCAAACAUGGCUGUGUCCUUCUACAAAUUAAUUUUACCUUAAAGAUGUAUACAAGGGGCAUGUGUGUAUUCCAGCCAGAGGGAUUAAAAAUGUGUGGCAUGUUUACAUUCCAGCUGGAUCAAAAAGACCUAGGUCUUUGGAUGUGAUCCCUUGCCAGAGCAGCCAUGUUGCUGGAUUUAAAAUUUCUCUGCAGCUUUUGAAUGAGCAUAAGCCCAUGUGAAGCAGAGAAGAGUAUCAUGUGGAUAUUUGUAGUGAGUACAUUUAGUAAAGCAGAUGUGAGAUAAUACAAUGGUAAGAGAUGAAAUCAGAAAGGCAGUCUUCAAUGUGACCUCACUAAUACCUCUGACAAUCACAUGCUGUGCAGUGACCUAUGUACCUAAUAGUAUUAUAGAAAUAAUGGAGUAAGGUUUUCCAUGGGCAAUAUCAAGGAGACUUUUGUCUUGUUCACUGUUGAGUCACCAGCUCUGGGGAAAGUCAACUGUCAGCUGGGUAUGAUUAAGCAACCCAAAGGACGUGUCCAUUUGAUCAGAACUGAGGUCUCUUACCAGGAGCCAAAAGACCCUGCAGUGUCAGGCAACCUCAGAUGAUCAAGCACUUCAGGUUGACACCUUGGUUGCAAUUCAGCAGAUGACCUGAGUAACACCUAACUGGAGAAGGCUCUCCAAAACAUUUGUCUUGCAAAACUUGCACAAGCAGUGGGAAGUAAAAAAA
rnacentral:lncRNA from 1 species